UACAGAGGGGGCAAGCGUUAUUCGGAAUUACUGGGCGUAAAGCGCGCGUAGGCGGACAUUUAAGUCAGGGGUGAAAUCCCAGGGCUCAACCCUGGAACUGCCUUUGAUACUGAAUGUCUGGAGUUCGGGAGAGGUGAGUGGAAUUCCGAGUGUAGAGGUGAAAUUCGUAGAUAUUCGGAGGAACACCAGAAGCGAAGGCGGCUCACUGGCCCGAUACUGACGCUGAGGCGCGAAAGCGUGGGGAGCAAACAGG
rnacentral:rRNA from 1 species